UGCCAGCAGCCGCGGUAAUACAGAGGGAGUAAGCGUUGUUCGGAUUUACUGGGCGUAAAGCGCGCGUAGGUUGUUUUGUUAGUCAGAAGUGAAAUCUCCGGGCUCAACUCGGAAAUUGCUUUUGAAACUGCAAGACUAGAGACCGGCAGAGGAUGGCGGAAUUCCCCAUGUAGAGGUGAAAUUCGUAGAUAUGGGGAGGAACACCAGAGGCGAAGGCGGCCAUCUGGACCGGUACUGACACUGAGGCGCGAAAACGUGGGGAGCAAACAGGAUUAGAUA
rnacentral:rRNA from 1 species